rnacentral:sRNA from 1 species
AAGAUAUGUAAUCAAUUCCCACUAAUAGAGGAAAUUGAUUAUGUUCACAUAUAAUAUUUGUACCUUUUUUUUUCCUUUAUACUAUGCAUAGAUCUAACAUUAAUCACUUCUUUGGUUAUUUUUCUGAUGACAUAAAUUUACAUAUGUUUUUUUUUUUUUGCUUUUCCAAGUAUAUAUAGAUAUUAUUUGUAAUGGGCUUUAUUCCAACUUUCAUUUACUAUGAUAUUGUCCUUUUUGAGCUUAUAUCUUCAAGCCCGCAAAGAUUUGUUAUUGGGUUCCUUUCCAAAAGACCUCAUACUAGUUGGAGUUGGACUUGACUUAUAUAUUAAAAACUCUUUUUCUAAACUUUCGAUGUGGGACAUUUGGUUUGUACCCAACAAUUUGUAGCUGUUUUUUACAUUUAAAUAUUCUCAAAAAUACAGAGAGCAUGGAAUUUAAAUACAUAUACUGUAAUAAACUUACAU